rnacentral:rRNA from 1 species
UACGGGGGGGGCAAGUGUUGUUCGGAAUUACUGGGCGCAAAGGGCUCGUAGGCGGCCAACUAAGUCAGACGUGAAAUCCCUCGGCUUAACCGGGGAACUGCAUCUGAUACUGGAUGGCUUGAGUUCGGGAGAGGGAUGCGGAAUUCCAGGUGUAGCGGUGAAAUGCGUAGAUAUCUGGAGGAACACCGGUGGCGAAGGCGGCAUCCUGGACCGACACUGACGCUGAGGAGCGAAAGCCAGGGGAGCAAACGGG